rnacentral:rRNA from 1 species
UACGGGGGGGGCAAGCGUUGUUCGGAAUUACUGGGCGUAAAGGGCUCGUAGGCGGCCAACUAAGUCAGACGUGAAAUCCCUCGGCUUAACCGGGGAACUGCAUCUGAUACUGGAUGGCUCGAGUUUGGGAGAGGGAUGCGGAAUUCCAGGUGUAGCGGUGAAAUUCGUAGAUAUUCGCAAGAACACCAGUGGCGAAGGCGGCUCACUGGCCCGGUACUGACGCUGAGGUGCGAAAGCGUGGGGAGCAAACGGG